rnacentral:ncRNA from 1 species
CGGGCGGUAGACUCCGUCCAAGGCUAAAUACAGGCGAGAGACCGAUAGCGAACAAGUACCGCGAGGGAAAGAUGAAAAGGACUUUGAAAAGAGAGUCAAAGAGUGCUUGAAAUUGCCGGGAGGGAAGCGGGCGGGGGCCGGCGAUGCGCCCCGGCCGUAUGCGGAGCGGCUCUUGCUGGUCCGCCGCUCGGCUCGGGGUGUGGACUGUUGUCG